rnacentral:misc_RNA from 1 species
UUGCCUUACUGAAGCCUUGAAA